rnacentral:rRNA from 1 species
AGACCCGAAACCCGGUGAUCUAGCCAUGGGCAGGUUGAAGGUUGGGUAACACUAACUGGAGGACCGAACCGACUAAUGUUGAAAAAUUAGCGGAUGACCUGUGGCUGGGGGUGAAAGGCCAAUCAAACCGGGAGAUAGCUGGUUCUCCCCGAAAGCUAUUUAGGUAGCGCCUCGUGAAUUCAUCUCCGGGGGUAGAGCACUGUUUCGGCUAGGGGGCCAUCCCGGCUUACCAACCCGAUGCAAACUGCGAAUACCGGAGAAUGUUAUCACGGGAGACACACGGCGGGUGCUAACGUCCGUCGUGAAGAGGGAAACAACCCAGACCGCCAGCUAAGGUCCCAAAGUCAUGGUUAAGUGGGAAACGAUGUGGGAAGGCCCAGACAGCCAGGAUGUUGGCUUAGAAGCAGCCAUCAUUUAAAGAAAGCGUAAUAGCUCACUGGUCGAGUCGGCCUGCGCGGAAGAUGUAACGGGGCUAAACCAUGCACCGAAGCUGCGGCAGCGACGCUGAUGCGUUGUUGGGUAGGGGAGCGUUCUGUAAGCCUGCGAAGGUGGCCUGUGAGGGUUGCUGGAGGUAUCAGAAGUGCGAAUGCUGACAUAAGUAACGAUAAAGCGGGUGAAAAGCCCGCUCGCCGGAAGACCAAGGGUUCCUGUCCAACGUUAAUCGGGGCAGGGUGAGUCGACCCCUAAGGCGAGGCCGAAAGGCGUAGUCGAUGGGAAACGGGUUAAUAUUCCCGUACUUGGUGUUACUGCGAAGGGGGGACGGAGAAGGCUAUGUUGGCCGGGCGACGGUUGUCCCGGUUUAAGCGUGUAGGCUGGUUUUCCAGGCAAAUCCGGAAAAUCAAGGCUGAGGCGUGAUGACGAGGCACUACGGUGCUGAAGCAACAAAUGCCCUGCUUCCAGGAAAAGCCUCUAAGCAUCAGGUAACAUCAAAUCGUACCCCAAACCGACACAGGUGGUCAGGUAGAGAAUACCAAGGCGCUUGAGAGAACUCGGGUGAAGGAACUAGGCAAAAUGGUGCCGUAACUUCGGGAGAAGGCACGCUGACACGUAGGUGAAGUGAUUUACUCAUGGAGCUGAAGUCAGUCGAAGAUACCAGCUGGCUGCAACUGUUUAUUAAAAACACAGCACUGUGCAAACACGAAAGUGGACGUAUACGGUGUGACGCCUGCCCGGUGCCGGAAGGUUAAUUGAUGGGGUCAGCGCAAGCGAAGCUCCUGAUCGAAGCCCCGGUAAACGGCGGCCGUAACUAUAACGGUCCUAAGGUAGCGAAAUUCCUUGUCGGGUAAGUUCCGACCUGCACGAAUGGCGUAAUGAUGGCCAGGCUGUCUCCACCCGAGACUCAGUGAAAUUGAACUCGCUGUGAAGAUGCAGUGUACCCGCGGCAAGACGGAAAGACCCCGUGAACCUUUACUAUAGCUUGACACUGAACAUUGAGCCUUGAUGUGUAGGAUAGGUGGGAGGCUUUGAAGUGUGGACGCCAGUCUGCAUGGAGCCGACCUUGAAAUACCACCCUUUAAUGUUUGAUGUUCUAACGUGGACCCGUUACCCGGGUUGCGGACAGUGUCUGGUGGGUAGUUUGACUGGGGCGGUCUCCUCCUAAAGAGUAACGGAGGAGCACGAAGGUUGGCUAAUCCUGGUCGGACAUCAGGAGGUUAGUGCAAUGGCAUAAGCCAGCUUGACUGCGAGCGUGACGGCGCGAGCAGGUGCGAAAGCAGGUCAUAGUGAUCCGGUGGUUCUGAAUGGAAGGGCCAUCGCUCAACGGAUAAAAGGUACUCCGGGGAUAACAGGCUGAUACCGCCCAAGAGUUCAUAUCGACGGCGGUGUUUGGCACCUCGAUGUCGGCUCAUCACAUCCUGGGGCUGAAGUAGGUCCCAAGGGUAUGGCUGUUCGCCAUUUAAAGUGGUACGCGAGCUGGGUUUAGAACGUCGUGAGACAGUUCGGUCCCUAUCUGCCGUGGGCGCUGGAGAACUGAGGGGGGCUGCUCCUAGUACGAGAGGACCGGAGUGGACGCAUCACUGGUGUUCGGGUUGUCAUGCCAAUGGCACUGCCCGGUAGCUAAAUGCGGAAGAGAUAAGUGCUGAAAGCAUCUAAGCACGAAACUUGCCCCGA